GACGGAGCGGGGGACGGAGACAAUCGGGACCCGGAGGGAGACCUGGAGAGGGAGGGCGGGCGCGAGGGAAGGAAGGAAGAAAGGAUGGGGCGAAGACGCGCGUCCCGAGAGUGAGCCCUGAGAGUUGGGGAUGUGGUCGAAUUGGGGUUGGGGGCUGCUGCUGCCGGUGCCUAGCAGUUGCUGAAGGAGAGGACGAGAGGUGGCCAGAGAAAAGGAGGAAGAAGAGGUGGUCGUGGUGAGGGUCGGGGGCCGCGGCUGGGACGCUGGGACCCGUACAGCCGCGGAGUGCGCGCUCCUGGCAGGCUUGGGGAGUACUGGAUGGAAGCAGCUCCCUUUCUCUACCCUUUCUCCCUCCCCUCUCCUCUGCCCUCCCUCUCUUCCUCCCUCCGCCCUCUUUGGACGUGGGCUGCAGGCUUCAGCCCACAGGGAUGGGACGAGGAACGAGAAGCCCCCCGCGGGAGGAGGAGCCGUGCCGAGCGCCUUGGCCCCGCAGCCGGAUGGCGCGCGCCGGGGAGGGGAGGCUGGCCGGGCGGAAGCGGCCGACCCCAGACCCCGACUCCGCGGUGGGUUGGAGGGCGAGGGCCCGGGAGUUGGCGGGAAGAAGGAACUGUAUAUCCUGGAGGGAAACAAGCCAAGAGUCUAUUGAAGCUGCAAUUGAAAAAAUUCAGAAGAAGCAAGGCUACCAUGAAUCAGGAAACUUUGCCCAUGUUUUGAUGCAUUGAUUGUGUUAAUUGGCAUCCCAUCCCCAUGCCCGCUUUACCUCAGUUAUAUGAAGAACCACGAGGGGGCAAUGUCUUCCUGAGCAAUAGCUGAUGGUGGUCCUGAACCCCUGUGCUGGCCAGUAACCAGCACUUUGCCCUCCUUGGCCGUUCUUGCCUGUUACUGAAUACAUUCCACAGAAAGGCAUUGUUUUGCUGGAGCCUGGCAGGGACCCAAGAAAAAUGACAAUUGAUCUAGUCCUUGAUGGUUCUAGUCAGACCCCACUUAGUAGGUAGAAAAUGUUGUGACUGCAGGAUGCUGGGAGAACCUUCCCUUCCCCCACUCAGGGAAAUGUGGCUUAAUUCCAAAUAUAGAACCUGAUUCUUUUGUAUUUAAGCCAACCAGGAUUUUGUCCAUUGUUAAAAGUCAGAAACCUGUGGGAUAAGAAACAAAACCAAGUUCCAUGAGAGGAGCCAUGUCUGGCUUACUCAUUGUUUUGUUUCAAACAUCUAGACAGUGCCUAACACAUAGUAGGCACAUAAUUUUUAAAAACUUAUUUAUUUAUU
rnacentral:lncRNA from 1 species